rnacentral:lncRNA from 1 species
AAUCCGCUAAUAUCAUUCAAUUAGAUUCUUAACUCAACAAUGUUAAUCCUCAUAUGGAUAUUUGAUACAAGUUUUCUUGUUGUGAUCCUCUAUAGGCUAUAUCACAUUUUCUACAAUUUACUUUAGAUCUCUUGAUUAUUUUUUUCUCAAUUGGUAUAUGCGGCACAUAUCACUCCUUCAAUCUUGAAAUCCACAUACCAUCCUGCAAUAGAUUUCAAAAAAAAAAUUAAAGAACCUACUAAACAACAGUUAUAACAAUCAAAUUUGAAAUAUACAAUCAUAUUUUUUUUAUAUCACCAAAAAAAGGUUAUAUACGAAAUGAUGUAUAAUAUGGUUAAAAACUUUAUUGUUUAUGCACACUAUCAAUUACACCUAUUAAUCUACCAAAUUUUUUGUAUUAAACUUUAUUGUUUAUGCACCAAUUAAAAAAGACCAUCAUUUUCACCAAUUAAUUUACUAAAACAUAUUCACCAUAUAUGAAUCUUAUAAUAAAUCACACACCCUACAAAUUAAAUCAAAGAAUAACUAUCAAAAAACACGGAAUUGGUGAUUAAUAACAACGUAAAUUACACGAUCAAUUACACCACUCAAUAUAGCCAAAUUCAAACGCCUUAAUUCAUAUUGUAACACAAAAAAAUAUAUACACAACACAAUAGAUUACAAGAUAACGAUCAUGAAAAAAAACUAAAUAUAAUUAAUAAAAUCACUUCAAAAAACACCAAUUCAAUCGUGAUUUAUCAGAAUUACCUGAUGCGUCCCAUCAUCCGUUGUGUUGAAUUAGGAUUGAAAAAUUCUUGGUAUCCAUGAUUGAACAGUCGACCAAAAUGAGUAGAAAGAGAGUUUUAUUUUUGUUAAAAAAAAAACCUUUUUAAGAUGGGAGAGAAUAUAUAACUAAUUUGAGUAAAUCGUGGAAGGUAAAAGAAUUGGAGGAAAUCAAGGAAUCUGAGUAAAUCGUGGUUGACUAUUUCUAUUUUUUUUUUCCUAUUUCAACGAAUUUUUCCCUAUAUCUACGGGUUUUUUUCUAUAUUAAAUCCUAUUUUUGAAAAAAAAAAACUAUUGCUAUGUAGACGGAAAAAAAAACUAUUGCUAUACAGUUUUUUUUCCUAAAAUAUAUAUUUCUUAUUCUGCUUAUUUAUUUUAUAAUAAAACAUCACUAACACAUAUAACCAAUUUUAUUUUAAUUUACUUUGUUUUAGCUCUUAUUAAAGAUAUAUCAUGAUUUUCAAAAAGAUUUUCAAAAAAAUAAAGAUAAAGAUUGACAAUGUAACGAUAAAAUAGAAAUUUAAAAUUAUCAUUUGACAUGAGGGAAGAAUAUCUAUUAUGCAAAGUUGGGGGUUUAAAGGAUUUUGAUCCUUUAUUUAACUGAACAAAAAGUGACUCAUUAUACGUACUCCAUAUCGUUAGAUUAGUGCAAGUCAUGUUCACUUGCAACGACUUGUUAAUAUUUAUUCAAGUAAUUAAACAAGAUUAAAGUAAUAGUUAAACAAAUUGAUUUCCUCGAUAUCUAACAAGAAUGUAUCUGGUAUUCAGACAUUUAAUGUACUGUUAAACAUUUUGCUUCUAAACCGUUAAUAUAAUAUUUUUGUAUUGAAAUAAGAAAUUUAUAUACAUGAAGAACUCAGGAAUGAACGUGUGUCAUACAAUAUCACAAAAAAAUAUCUAUGAUGAUUCCAUUAAUAUAGUGCUUGAAUCCAAGACUAAUUGGUUAACUUGACCUCGACUCGCUAAUGAGAUAACUAUAUGGUUCUUAUUCAAGAAAAGGCUGAAACUCGUGGCGCGAAAUUAGUAAAAAGCUCAUGUUUUAAAGAUAGAACAAAAAGACAGAUGCACAAGAUAUAUCUAUAUGAGAUUAUGCAAAAUUACAUAAGAAAAUUAGUUGACACGCAUAAUGAUAAAAAACAACUAGUAGAGGUGCGUAUUGGUACGUGAAAAAAGUUGAUUUCCAAUUAAAUGCCUAGACUGCCCAAUUACUCACGCAAGGAAAAAGAAAAGAACACUACGGUGAUCUUAUCAAAAGGGUUAAAGACAAGCUUCAAACUUGAAAAGGUAAUAUGUUUAUCUUUUGGAGGCAAAGAGGGUAUUGUUUCAACAGUGUAUUACAAAGCAUUCACAUUCAUGUGCUUUCUGUCAGUCCCUCCUAAAUGUGUAAUAAGGGAGCUGGACAGAACUUUUGUUAAGUUCUUCAAGGUAAAAAUAAUUCGGACAGAAGUAACAUUUGGCAUCCUGAGAGAAGUUGUCUUCCUAAACAUAGAGGGGUUAGGUUUCAGAUUUUUAUUGGAAGAUUCUAAAGUUUUGUAUGCAAAUUGUGGUGAAGAUUAGAACUUGUGGUCUAACUAUUUCUAAAAUAAAUAUUACAAAAAGCAAAUUCCAACAAUGGUGCAAUAGCAAGGAAGUCCACAAGCACAUUAUGCUAGAGAGUAGAAUAAUUGUACAAACUGUGUUAUAGGAACCAAAAGAGGUACCUCUAGCAUUUGGUAUGAUAACUGGACAAUGUUUGAUCCUUCAUAUCUUCUCCAAUCAGAUACCCAAACUUGUCAUC